rnacentral:rRNA from 1 species
UACACACCGCCCGUCACGCCACGAAAGCUGGUUGAACCAGAAGUCGAUGACCCAACCGCAAGGAGGGAAUCGCCCAAGGUAUGACUGGUGAUUGGGGUG